UACGUAGGUGGCGAGCGUUGUCCGGAAUCACUGGGCGUAAAGGGCGCGUAGGCGGCCUGUCAAGUCACAUGUGAAAAACCAGGGCUCAACUCUGGGGGGUCAUGCGAAACUGAUGGGCUUGAGUGCAGUAGAGGGAAGCGGAAUUCCUGGUGUAGCGGUAAAAUGCGUAGAGAUCAGGAGGAACACCGGUGGCGAAGGCGGCUUUCUGGGCUGCAACUGACGCUGAGGCGCGAAAGCGUGGGGAG
rnacentral:rRNA from 1 species